rnacentral:rRNA from 1 species
CCUACGGGCGGCAGCAGUGGGAAUAUUGGACAAUGGGCGAAAGCCUGAUCCAGCCAUGCCGCGUGUGUGAAGAAGGCCUUCGGGUUGUAAAGCACUUUCAGUGGGGAAGAAAGCCUUGGGGCUAAUACCCUCGAGGAAGGACAUCACCCACAGAAGAAGCACCGGCUAACUCCGUGCCAGCAGCCGCGGUAAUACGGAGGGUGCGAGCGUUAAUCGGAAUUACUGGGCGUAAAGCGCGCGUAGGCGGUCUGAUAAGCCGGUUGUGAAAGCCCCGGGCUCAACCUGGGAACGGCAUCCGGAACUGUCAGGCUAGAGUGCAGGAGAGGAAGGUAGAAUUCCCGGGGUAGCGGUGAAAUGCGUAGAGAUCGGGAGGAAUACCAGUGGCGAAGGCGGCCUUCUGGACUGACACUGACGCUGAGGUGCGAAAGCGUGGGUAGCAAACAGGAUUAGAUACCCUAGUAGUC